AUACGAAGGGGGCUAGCGUUGCUCGGAAUGACUGGGCGUAAAGGGCGUGUAGGCGGUUUUGACAGUCAGAUGUGAAAUCCCCGGGCUUAACCUGGGAGCUGCAUUUGAGACGUUAAGACUAGAGUGUGAGAGAGGGUUGUGGAAUUCCCAGUGUAGAGGUGAAAUUCGUAGAUAUUGGGAAGAACACCGGUGGCGAAGGCGGCAACCUGGCUCAUUACUGACGCUGAGGCGCGAAAGUAUGGGUAGC
rnacentral:rRNA from 1 species